AAUCAACGCUGGCGGCGUGCCUCAGACAUGCAAGUCGAACGCGAAAGUUUCCUUCGGGGAACAAGUAGAGUGGCGCACGGGUGAGUAACACGUAGGUAAUCUACCUUUGGAUGGGGAAUAACAGCCGGAAACGGUUGCUAAUACCGCAUAAUGCAGCGGCACCUAAUGGUGACAGUUGUUAAAGCGGGGGAUCGAAAGACCUCGCGUCUGAAGAGGAGCCUGCGGCGGAUUAGCUAGUGGUAAGGUAAUGGCUUACCAAGGCUUCGAUCCGUAGCCGGCCUGAGAGGGCGGUCGGCCACACUGACACUGACAUACGGGUCAGACUCCUACGGGAGGCAGCAGUCGGGAAUUUUGGG
rnacentral:rRNA from 1 species